GGAGCUGAUAGCUCAGUGGUUAGAAUGCUGGACUCCUGAACUAAAGGGCACAGGUUUGAAUCCUGCCAUCACAUCAGUCCA